rnacentral:lncRNA from 1 species
CACAGGGUGCCCGGGGCCCCUUCCUGCAGCCUGAACUCUGCUUGGGGGGUGUGUGCGUGCUGGGGGGACUGGGACUGCUGGGAUCCCACUGCAAUCCCCCCAGGGGAGGGGUUAGAGCCCACCUCGGGCUGAGUGCUUUGGACACAGCAGAGGGGACGCAGGGUGCCCCGGCAGGACGAUCCCAAAGGCACAGCAUGGCCCACCACCUCGACCACUCCACCCGGCUCCACCUCGGGCUCCACGCAGACACCUCCCCAGCAGGAAGAGACGCAGGAGACAGCCAGCCCCUCUGCCGCCCCUGACCGCGGGUCCUGGCCAUACAAGAAGUGGUUUUCGCCUGCAGCACUGGCCCCGUUUCCUUCCCCAGCUCCGCGGGGCUGUUUGCCCGUGGGAAGCCGAGCGUGAGCUGGGCCCUGUUCUGCUUUGUAGCCGCAGUCCCACGGGGCUGCCUGACAGAGCCUGAGGU